rnacentral:rRNA from 1 species
GCAUAUCAAUAAGCGGAGGAAAAGAAACCAACAGGGAUUGCCUCAGUAACGGCGAGUGAAGCGGCAACAGCUCAAAUUUGAAAUCUGGCCCCCAGGCCCGAGUUGUAAUUUGCAGAGGAUGCUUUGGGCGCGGCGCCUUCCGAGUUCCCUGGAACGGGACGCCACAGAGGGUGAGAGCCCCGUCUGGUUGGAUGCCUAGCCUAUGUAAAGCUCCUUCGACGAGUCGAGUAGUUUGGGAAUGCUGCUCUAAACGGGAGGUAUAUGUCUUCUAAAGCUAAAUACCGGCCAGAGACCGAUAGCGCACAAGUAGAGUGAUCGAAAGAUGAAAAGCACUUUGAAAAGAGGGUUAAAUAGUACGUGAAAUUGUUGAAAGGGAAGCGCUUACGACCAGACUUGGGCUCGGCGGAUCACCCGGCGUUCUUCGCCGGGGCACUCCGCCGGCUCAGGCCAGCAUCGGUUUGCCUCGGGGGACAAAGGCGGCGGGAACGUAGCUCCCUCGGGAGUGUUAUAGCCCGCCGUGUAAUACCCUGCGGCGGACCGAGGACCGCGCAUCUGCAAGGAUGCUGGCGUAAUGGUCGUCAGCGACCCGUCUUGAAACACGGACCAAGGAGUCGUCUUCGUAUGCGAGUGUUCGGGUGGAAAACCCCUACGCGUAAUGAAAGUGAACGCAGGUGAGAGCUUCGGCGCAUCAUCGACCGAUCCUGAUGUUCUCGGAUGGAUUUGAGUAAGAGCAUACGGGGCCGGACCCGAAAGAAGGUGAACUAUGCCUGUAUAGGGUGAAGCCAGAGGAAACUCUGGUGGAGGCUCGCAGCGGUUCUGACGUGCAAAUCGAUCGUCAAAUAUGGGCAUGGGGGCGAAAGACUAAUCGAACCUUCUAGUAGCUCGUUACGCGAG